rnacentral:rRNA from 1 species
AGUGAACGCUGUCGGUAGGCCUAACACAUGCAAGUCGAACGGCAGCACAGUAAGAGCUUGCUCUUACGGGUGGCGAGUGGCGGACGGGUGAGGAAUACAUCGGAAUCUACUUUUUCGUGGGGGAUAACGUAGGGAAACUUACGCUAAUACCGCAUACGACCUACGGGUGAAAGCAGGAGAUCUUCGGACCUUGCGCGAUUGAAUGAGCCGAUGUCGGAUUAGCUAGUUGGCGGGGUAAAGGCCCACCAAGGCGACGAUCCGUAGCUGGUCUGAGAGGAUGAUCAGCCACACUGGAACUGAGACACGGUCCAGACUCCUACGGGAGGCAGCAGUGGGGAAUAUUGGAGAAUGGGCGCAAGCCUGAGCCAGCCAUACCGCGUGGGUGAAGAAGGCCUUCGGGUUGUAAAGCCCUUUUGUUGGGAAAGAAAAGCAGCAGGUUAAUACCCCGCUGUUCUGACGGUACCCAAAGAAUAAGCACCGGCUAACUUCGUG